AUUGGACGCUGGCGGCAGGCCUAACACAUGCAAGUCGAGCGGAUGAAGGGAGCUUGCUCCUGGAUUCAGCGGCGGACGGGUGAGUAAUGCCUAGGAAUCUGCCUGGUAGUGGGGGAUAACGUCCGGAAACGGGCGCUAAUACCGCAUACGUCCUGAGGGAGAAAGUGGGGGAUCUUCGGACCUCACGCUAUCAGAUGAGCCUAGGUCGGAUUAGCUAGUUGGUGGGGUAAAGGCCUACCAAGGCGACGAUCCGUAACUGGUCUGAGAGGAUGAUCAGUCACACGGGAAAUGAGACACGGUCCAACCUCCGACGGGAGCCAGCAGGGGGGAAUUUUGGAAAGUGGGCAAAAGCCUGAACAAGCCCUGCCGCGUGUGUGAAGAAGGUCUUCGGAUUGUAAAACACUUUAGGUGGGGGGGAGGGACAAUAAGUUAAUACCUUGCUGUUUUGAGGUUACCAAAAAAAUAAGCCCCGGCAACCUUCGUG
rnacentral:rRNA from 1 species